UGAAAGAUUCUUCAAGAGUGAAUACAACAAGUGAGGUUUUUGCCCUCUUCCUACUUUCUGUUAGAUUUUGCUGAAUUUUUUUGUUUGUUUUUCCAUAGUGGCUUGGUUGAGUUUUGUUCUACAAUUAAAAACCAAAGAAGAGAUACGAGGAAGGAGAGAUUUUGGUUGAUGAUGACAGUGUUGAACAGUUGCGGCUUACAUAAUUAGUAUUAAGUGAUGAUAGUUCAGAUCCGUUCAUGACAACUACUUCUAGAUUAAAG